CAGGAUGAACGCUAGCUACAGGCUUAACACAUGCAAGUCGAGGGGAACGAUAGAGAAGCUUGCUUUUCAGGCGUCGACCGGCGCACGGGUGAGUAACGCGUAUCCAACCUGCCCAUCACUUGGGGAUAACCUUGCGAAAGUAAGACUAAUACCCAAUGAUAUCUCUAGAAGACAUCUGAAGGAGAUUAAAGAUUCAUCGGUGAUGGAUGGGGAUGCGUCUGAUUAGCUUGUUGGCGGGGUAACGGCCCACCAAGGCAACGAUCAGUAGGGGUUCUGAGAGGAAGGUCCCCCACAUUGGAACUGAGACACGGUCCAAACUCCUACGGGAGGCAGCAGUGAGGAAUAUUGGUCAAUGGGCGAGAGCCUGAACCAGCCAAGUAGCGUGCAGGACGACGGCCCUAUGGGUUGUAAACUGCUUUUAUAAGGGAAUAAAGUGAGUCUCGUGAGGCUUUUUGCAUGUACCUUAUGAAUAAGGACCGGCUAAUUCCGUG
rnacentral:rRNA from 1 species